UUACUGCUAUCGGUGUUCGCCUAAGCCAUGCGAGUCAUAUGUAGCAAUACAUGGCGUACUGCUCGUAACACGUGGAUAACCUGCCCUUGGGUCCGGCAUAACCCCGGGAAACUGGGGAUAAUUCCGGAUAGCGCAUAUGUGCUGGAAGCUUUAUGCGUCAAAUGGAUUCGUCGCCCAAGGAUGGGUCGCGGCCUAUCAGGUAGUAGUGGUGUAAUGUACCACUAGCCGACAACGGUACGGGUUGUGAGAGCAAGAGCCCGGAGAGGAUUCUGAGCAUGAAUCCAGGCCCUACGGGGCGCAGCAGGCGCGAUGCUGAG
rnacentral:rRNA from 1 species